rnacentral:rRNA from 1 species
AUUGAACGCUGGCGGCAGGCCUAACACAUGCAAGUCGAACGAGUGGCGGACGGGUGAGUAAUGUCUGGGAAACUGCCCGAUGGAGGGGGAUAACUACUGGAAACGGUAGCUAAUACCGCAUACCAUCGGAUGUGCCCAGAUGGGAUUAGCUAGUAGGUGAGGUAAAGGCUCACCUAGGCGACGAUCCCUAGCUGGUCUGAGAGGAUGACCAGCCACACUGGAACUGAGAGACGGUCCAGAAUCCUACGGGAGGCAGAAUGGGGGAAUAUUGCACAAUGGGAGCAAGCCUGAUGCAGCCAUGCGGCGUGUAUGAAGAAGGCCUUCGGGUUGUAAAGUACUUUCAGCGGGGAGGCGUUACCCGCAGAAGAAGCACCGGCUAACUCCGUGCCAGCAGCCGCGGUAAUAC